GUUUUAAUAGUUUAAAUAAAACAUUGAUCUUGUAAAUCAAAAUUGAAUGAAUUCUUAAAACU
rnacentral:tRNA from 1 species